rnacentral:rRNA from 1 species
AAAAUCGUGGUGCCUCGCACCUCGAGUUGUAGUCUGGAGAAGUGUCCUCUGCAGCGGACCAGACCCAAGUUCACUGGAAAGUGGCGUCAGAGAGGGUGAAAGCCCCGUCUAGUCUGGACACUGUUGCAAAACGAGGCACUGUCUGCGAGUCGAGCUGUUUGGGAAUGCAGCUCUAAGUGGGUGGUAAAUUCCAUCCAAGGCUAAAUAUUGGCAAGAGACCGAUAGCGAACAAGUACCGCGAGGGAAAGAUGAAAAGGACUUUGAAAAGAGAGUUAAAAAGUGCUUGAAAUUGCUGGGAGGGAAGCGAAUGGAAGCUGCGGGUGUGCCCCGGUUGGAUGUGGAACGGUUCAGGCUGGUCCGCCGCUCAACGCGGGGCACUGGUCAGCGUGGGCCAUCGCGGCGGGACAAGAGCGGGAUGUAGUUUCCUGCCUAUGCCGUUGUGGUGGCCGAGGAACGAAGCAUGCGCCUCUUUUGGCGUGGCAUAAUGAUGCCAACUGCAUGCUCGGGACGCUGGCGUAUUGAGCUCUUCAUCCGACCCGUCUUGAAACACGGACCAAGGAGUCUAACAUGUAUGCGAGCCGGUGGGCGGCAAACCCAUUGAGGCGCAAGUAAACUGACA